GUCGAGCGGCGGACGGGUGAGUAACGCGUAGGAAUCUACCCAGUAGAGGGGGAUAGCCCGGGGAAACUCGGAUUAAUACCGCAUACGCCCUAAGGGGGAAAGGAGGGGAUCUGUUUACAGACCUUUCGCUAUUAGAUGAGCCUGCGUGAGAUUAGCUAGUUGGUGGGGUAAAGGCUCACCAAGGCGACGAUCUCUAGCUGGUCUGAGAGGAUGAUCAGCCACACUGGGACUGAGACACGGCCCAGACUCC
rnacentral:rRNA from 1 species